UACUUUCCAUUUUUUUCUCAGAAAUUCAUGGAAUGCGUAUGUAUUGUAAUUUGUAGUUCAAACAAAUUCCGCUGGCGCUAGUUGUCUCUCUCUCUCUUUAUUAUCUUUUAUUUUGUUUCUACAUGAUCUCUCGCACUCGCUCUGUCGAGUGGUUGUUUGGUGGUAUAAAGAAUAAGAUGAACUUAGGUAUCUACAUUCUACAUAUUGUUUGUACAUAGGUUUUUCCAUAAAAAAGGAUUGGCGCUAGGCAAGCUCAUCGCACAUGCAAAGUGUUGUUGUUUUUUUUCGCGAAAAUGAGAGGAUACAGGAAAUGGAUCUCUCGCACGUUCGCAAUGUAUGGUAUCUGGUGUUGCGUGGUAGGUAUAUGGAAUAGGAUAAACGAGUUUUUUUUGUAUUCUUGUUUUUUUUUCAAACUGGUUUAUUUAUCUCUUUCAUAAAUUUAUGAUGUUGCAUGUUAGGUAUUCUCCUGAGCAACUGUAGGGAUAUAUUUUUUUCUAUAAAAAAAAAUUUGAUCUGUAAUGUUAUUUUCGAAUUUGAUUUUAUAGAUGAAAUUGUCUUUUUCUGUGAAAUCGGGCACAACUAUUCUGCUUCUCAAUUACUUCAUUUGUAUAAUUUUUCAAAACAAAUUUAUGAGAAAUAUGACCAGUCAAAAACUUUAAAAUUCUUUUCUUUUUUUUUUAAUAGGCAAUAGGAGGUAUAUACUAUCACCUUUCUAAAUAAACUAUUGAGUAUUUUGUACCUACUUAUAAUAAUGAAAUAAAAUGUAUUGUUUUUUUUACCAAAACUAAUUAAAAUCCAAACAAAACAAAAAAAAUGUUAAAAAAAUUUGUUUUUUAAACUACUAAAAUAAAUAUCAUCACUGAAUAGAAAAGAUUCCUGCGCCUACGAACACUAUUAUUAGAAUACCAAGUGAUGUAGGUACAUAGAUGCGCAGAAUGAUAGAAAAAUUUAACACUGAAUAUCAUACCAUUUUUUUCUUCAUAAAUAUACCAUCCACGACUCUUGCACAUAGAGUAAAACCAAUGGAAAACGAAAACACAAGUGAAUUCGGUUGCGCAAAGCAAAACCGCAAAACGAUUCUAUAAUCUAUAUACACUUGCAAGGCUUGCAACCCUUUUUUUUUGCUAUUUCCUUGAUGCUGAUUUGUUUUUUCUACCUAAAUAGACUUUAAUUUUAUGACUUUGGUUCUCUAGAAAGGGAAAGAGAAUGCAAAUAAAGACGGCGAGAGAGAACUGAGUUGAGAUGACGUUGAACGUGAGAGAUGUAUGGCGAAGAAAGGUCACUAAAAGCUGAAACACAAUCACGCUUCAGGGCGUCGCUUCGUUGCGUUACGUUGAGAAAUCCUCAAAGCGCGCUUCUGUCACUUUGACUUUGAACAGCUGAUUGCAACAUAAAAUCUGCUGUCAAAUAAAAAAAAAACACAGUCACUCACAAAAUUAUUGGGCCAAGUCUUUAUCUUGAUUUAAUUGUGGAAAAAUGAAAAAGGAUAUUAAUGUGUUUAAAAAAUGCAUAGAAAUUUGUUUAUUCUUUAAUCCUAUAGUUAUAAAAACAAAAACAAUCAAAAUAUAUUGUUUUUAACAAUAAAACUCAGUCUAAAACAUCAUUAAAUUUUUUUUGUUUUUAAUACGUAAAUUGUUUCGAUUUAAAAUAUCUCGAUGUCGUUUUUUUGUGCAAAAUCUAUAUAGAGAAAAUAAAAACACACAUAGUUUUGCAAUAAUUUAUUUUUUUUAUUCACAUUUGGCGCAAUAAUAAUGUGGGUGACUGUUAUUAUGUCUGUUAAAUGUCAGAAAGCGAGCAAAAGUUCAGUCUGGUUGAACUUUUGCUCGCUUUCUUACGUUUCCUUACGUUUGUCAAAAAAAGCGUACGUAAGAAAAGCGUCAUUGUGUGAGGAUACACAGAUUUCCUAUAGUUGAACUUUUCGCAUUUGUCAAAUUCGACGGCAAAGCGUGAUUGUGUUUCAGCUUUUAUAAACACAAACUCAUUUACAUGAAGUCUGAGUUCGUCAUUCGGGAACACCCACUCUUAACAUAGUCUUUCUACAUACUGGGUUUGGCAAAAAAAACCUUCUUAAAGUACAAUAUAUUGCUUUCUGAAGAUUUAUAUUUUUUUUUUCAUUCAAGUCUAUACUCUGUCCGAUAAAAAUUGGCAGUACAGGCCUUAUGGGAGAGCUUUUUUAAAAUCAGUGGGACCUUACAGUUGCCAAACGAAAAAUAUGCCCCUGAAACACACAAGAAAACCACAGGCGUGCCAUGGCAUUGUUGUUGUAAUUUCUUUACCAAGCGACGUACAUCCCCCUAUGGCCGAUCUGCCACACGAUCUGUGGCAGAAUGAAACUCAAUCAUCAAAGUUGUUUUUUUAAAGUAUUCACAAUACAUAAGAGUUACCAUAGGUAAACUUCCUUCAUAAACUACUCCCUUUUCUAUUAUUUUUUUGAAACAGCUUUCAGGAUUAAUGCUUUUUUCAAGCUUUUAAAACGAAAAAAAGCAUAUGUGUUGACGUGGUGCUGGGGCUGUUUUUUUUUAUUUUGUGUAUGUAGGAAAACAGUUAAUGUCAAUAUUUUAACACGCAUUUCAACAUUUUAACAGGAAAAAUUUGUUACGCAUGCGUGGGGUUGGGCAUAAACAAAAAAUACCAAGACUGGAAACUUUCGUACGUCUUUCCCCCCCAAAACCCUUUUGUGUACAGUGUUGUCUGUCAAUAUAUAUGUGAAAGCUACCACGUUGGUAAAUGACGUUAACACGCAAGCAAGAAAACGGAGUCCAGAAAAGACAGUCCGACCUCCGACCGAGAAAAGCGGGGUUGCACUCACACACUUGCAACUUUUUGUGUAUGAACACAAAGUCUAAGAGAAUCGUGGUGAAAACUGAGAAAAGGAAAAAAAAGUAGACAGACAUAGCCAACAAGAGCAAAAGCGUCAUUUUGUUAUUUUUUGUUGAAGUGUUUAGUCGCGUCGUGUCUCGUGUCGUUGUUAAUAAAAUAUAAGUGUAAUUAUAAACAAUUAUAUCAAACUAUUAACAAUAUGGAAACAAAAAAAGAUGUAAUCUCUAAUGAUGAAGAAAAAGGCAGAAGGUGAAACAUGCGAUUGGGCAUCUAAAGAAACACCAACCACAGCAGCAACAACAAAUAAAAUAAAAUGAAAAAAAUGUAUUCUAUUUUAUAUUGUAUAUAUUGUGAAAAUUUCGUUUGCCAAAAUUAAAUAAAAAAAAAAACAGUUUCAGUGAAAAAAAAAAAAUCUAGUUCUUUUUUUGGUCGCAAAUGCGAAACGUCAUCCCUUUUUUACUCCUCUUUCUGGUAGGUUUUCGCUGCUCCGACUCAGGUCCGCCUUCGGCUCCGUUUUCUCGGAAUGGAGAUUUUCACCACACCAAUACAUAUGCAAUCGACUUCGCGGUGAUUAUAAUUUCCAUACUAAUUUGAGCCGCCUUCGGACCAGUUUCUGAUCCGAAGUCGGACUCAGCUCCGCCUCAGGCGGAGUGGAUUCGGACCGAGGUCGGACCUGUUUGCUUGAAGGGCAUUUAUAGAUUCACGACAUUCACCACACAUCGGACACGAACACAACGAUAGGUUCACGAUAUUCACCACACCUCGCAGCUUGUAGGCAAACGUCAGUUGACUGCGGAGUUUCCAGUCUUGGUAUUUUUUGUUUAUGGGGUUGGGCUGUGUCUCAUAUGAGUGAAUUUUUGUUUGUUAUUGUGGUGUAAAAAGAAAAAUUAAUUUUUUUAUUCGUUUUUGUGAAAUUUUACCGCCAGGAUGGUAACGCUGGUACCUUUUCAAAACAUUUUUUCUGGAUAGUAUGGCAUCGCUGUGUGAGCUUUUUGAUGUGAUAGACAUAUCCAGAAGGCGUGAAGCAGAGUGAGAUGCAAAUGUCCUAUCUUCCCUGUACUGCCAAUUUUUAUCGGACAGAAUCAUGGACUAGCGAUUGAUUAUACAGGACACGCAAAAAUCGAAAAAAAGGUUUUUUCACUCCACCCUAAUGUACAAAAAGGCAUACAAAAAAUAUGUAAGUAAGUAGUUGAUAAUAGUAAAAGGACUCUUAAAAUCAUAUUUCCUGAUUUUCAGAGAAAUAUUUUUUCCUAGAUACCUUUUGAUUGAAAAAUAGCAUUAAUUCAGGGUCAAUCCAAUACUAUCCCAUUUUAUUGUGUUUAUAUUAUCUGAAUGUUAAAGAAUAAUGGAAGGUUAAUGUUUCAUAAAAUAAUUUACCAAGAAGUCCAGCCACGUAAAAACAAAACAAAGCAAUAAGGGUUUUUUAAAAGUAGUUUUGGUUUUUUUUUUUUUUAAUUUC